GGCUACGCCGGCAGAGGGGGAAGGGACGAGGGGCUUCCAACUAUCUCUGCCCAAAGCGGCUUUUCCUGGGCUUUUCGAGCACCACUGGUUCCUAAGACUACACAGGCCUCAGCGUCUCUUCCUCCCACCAAGAUUAAGUUAUCAAAUGAUUUCUGCCCACUGUGGCCGAAGCUUCCUGGGAGGAGAAGACACCAACCUGCGCCCCAGAGCCCUGAAGAUGGGAAGACACUUUGCUGGAAUCCAAGCCCAGGCUCACUUCCUGAGGAACUCGACAGAUAUUUCCGUUUGAGGUGCCACAUUUCUGAACUGUUCAAGCAAUGAGCAUCCUGCACUGAGGCUGGAGAUGCUCUCCGUUAGCAGUUGGCCCAAAGUAAGUAUUCAUAUUCAAGAAACUGUCUGAGUUUAUUCAUCUUUAAAAGAAAAGUCCGUUGAAGAACUUAGUUGCUGCUUUUAUUGAGAGA